AGGCAAUGAGUAGGGAAUAUUUUCCUCAUGAUAAACCAUUUUACAAAUGGAGUUGUACACAUCUGUUAUUUGUUGUGCUAAAUUCUUUAUUGCUAUGGAGUUAUUUUCCAGUAAUUGUCAGAACAUCAAUACAUCAAGGACACUUGGAUAUUGUCCCAAGCAAAACACAUCAUGUUGUACUAGCUACUUUGAAGUAAAUGGUGUUUGCGAAGUAUGUCCCCCGGGGUCCUAUGGAGUAAACUGCUCCGAGGAGUGUCCUAAAGGCUUUUAUGGUCAUUUUUGUGAGGAAAAUUGUACAUGUACAGAUAUCUGUGAUAAGCAAUAUGGCUGUGUGGAAACAACUAG